UNUGCUGUAUUCCUCCCACAUUGCACUGC
rnacentral:piRNA from 1 species